GAUGAACGCUGGCGGCGUGCCUAAUAUAUGCAAGUCGAGCGAACGGACGAGAAGCUUGCUUCUCUGAUGUUAGCGGCGGACGGGUGAGUAACACGUGGAUAACCUACCUAUAAGACUGGGAUAACUCCGGGAAACCGGAGCUAAUACCGGAUAAUAUUUUGAACCGCAUGGUUCAAAAGUGAAAGACGGUCUUGCUGUCACUUAUAGAUGGAUCCGCGCUGCAUUAGCUAGUUGGUAAGGUAACGGCUUACCAAGGCAACGAUGCAUAGCCGACCUGAGAGGGUGAUCGGCCACACUGGAACUGAGACACGGUCCAGACUCCUACGGGAGGCAGCAGUAGGGAAUCUUCCGCAAUGGGCGAAAGCCUGACGGAGCAACGCCGCGUGAGUGAUGAAGGUCUUCGGAUCGUAAAACUCUGUUAUUAGGGAAGAACAUAUGUGUAAGUAACUGUGCACAUCUUGACGGUACCUAAUCAGAAAGCCACGGCUAACUACGUG
rnacentral:rRNA from 1 species